UACGGAGGGGGCGAGCGUUAUUCGGAAUCAUUGGGCGUAAAGGGCGCGUAGGCGGCCCCGUAAGUCUUGGGUGAAAGCCCUCGGCUCAACCGAGGAAUUGCCUUGGAUACUGCGGGGCUCGAGGCUGGAAGAGGGCAGUGGAAUUCCCGGUGUAGCGGUGAAAUGCGUAGAGAUCGGAAAGAACACCAACGGCGAAAGCACUCUGCUGGGCCGACACUGACACUGAGAGACGAAAGCUAGGGGAGCGAAUGGG
rnacentral:rRNA from 1 species